CCCACAUGGCGGACAUACGACCGGUCAGUGGGAGCCGAUCGCGAUCGAAAGUCGCCGACGACCUGCAUAGGAUUGUAUUGUCUGUUAUGCUUGCAACAAAAUGGAGAAGAACAAGAUGAAAGUGCUCAAGAUUAAAAUAAAAAUAAAAGUGAAAGUAAUAGCCGAGGAAGGAGAUACGGAGAAGCCCCGUUCUACACAGAGGACGUGCUACAUGCAGAAGGUAAAGCCCUAGAUUAAGAGACUUUAUUAGAACACUUGAGUUAGAGUAUAAAAUGUGCUAUAUUAUGGUGUAUUAUGGUGCUAUUAGGACAAAACCUGAAAGUGCUCAAGAUUAAAAUAAAAAUUAAAAUAAGAGUGAAACUAAUAGCCGAGGAAGGAGAUACGGAGAAGCCCUGUUCUGCACAGAGGACGUGCGACAUGCAGAAGGUAAAGCCUUAGAUUAAGAGACUUUAUUAGAACACUUGAGUUAGGGUAUAAAAUGACCUAUAUUGUGGUGAAUUGAUGAGACCGUCCUAGAGUAAUAAGGAAGGGGGCGGAGUUCGACUUGAUGCGGGCAAAUUAAUUAUUGGGUUCACCUGUGGUCAGCGGUGGAGGGACACGCAGCUGAGUGAGGUGAUAAGAGGGAAACGUCUGAGACAGCGGGAGUGAUCGAAUGGCGCCGGUCGCGGUCAGUAGGAUCGCCGCCGGUGAAGAUAGUUAGUUUAUACCUCUUUUCUCCAACUUCUUUCGAGUGUGGUUGUGUUUUGAAUAGCUUACAAGAAAAUGGAGAAAAACGACAUGAAAGUAGUCAAGAUUAACAUAAAAAUUAAGGUAAAAGUGAAAGUAAUAACCAAGGAAGGUGAGACGGAAAAGCCCCGUUCUACACCGAGGAUGUGUUACAUGCCCAAGGUAAAGCCCAAGAUUAAGAGACUUUAUUAGAACACUUCAGAUAGAGUAUAAAAUGGGCAUCUGUGACGACAGCUUGAUCAGUAUUCAAACAGCUGCCCCAGCAGGGAACACCAGCAAACGACUGUGGCCAGAGGGUUCAGCCAUCCAGCGGGAGCAGCAGGCCACCCCCUCCGAGAGGAAGCAGGAGCCGUUAGGAUGAGGUCCCGGUUGGAGUACCUGGAUUGCAAAAAGCGCGCCAUGGACUUCAAUGGCUCCAGUGAUCGGUGUAUCCAGUUGGUGGGGAAGAGGGCUAGGAUAGCUAAAGGAUAUAGCUUUAAUACCCUUUCCUUGUCUUUAAACAGAAUACUGAUGAGGCUGGAUCAGUAUUCAAACAGCUGCCCCAGCAGGGAACACCAGCGAACGACUGUGGUCAGAGGGUUCAGCCAUCCAGCGGGAGCAGCAGGCCACCCCCUCCGAGAGGAAGCAGGAGCCGUUAGGAUGAGGUCCUGGUUGGAGUACCUGGAUUGCAGAAAGCGCACCAUGGACUUCAACGGCUCCAGUGAUCGGUGAUUGAAGGGAGGCCAAGGGCAGCCUCGGCCAUCCAUGGAGCAAGUCUUCACCAGGAUUGAUGGACUUGUGGGCUAUGGCCAGGGACGGAGGGUUAAUAGACCUAUGCCAAGAUAGGGCUGCCCAGUCGAGCUCCUGGAGAGCUACCACCCUGCAGAGCUUAAGUGCAGCCCUAAUUUAACACACCUACAUAUAACUGAAGGGCCUAAUUAUCUGUAUCCGGUGUGUUAAAUGAGGGCUGUACCUAAGCUCUGCAGGGUGGUAGUUCUUCAGGAGCAGGACUGGGCAGCCCUGUACUAAAGAAGAUAUGCUAAAAUAAGGUCUUUACAAUAAACAUAUACUUACUAUUUGUAGCGCCUGGCUGGAUUGCCUGUGGCAACCUUGUUGGUUUAACUCUAGGUGUGGUCAAUCUUGUGCAAAUCUUGGACCAGUAUACCUAGAUUUGGAAGGCAGGUGGGGUGUAGGUGGCAGCAUGCACACAAGGCAGUUAAUCGACUUUAUGGAUAGGGAUGAAAAAUGGUAUGACAUACACACAAAAUAAAAUGCACAACCAACAUAAAAUACACAUUAACUGAAUCUGUGAGCUUAAGUUUUAUACCCUUAGUUUCUCUGAUUAAAACUAGAUUUUAAUUCCUAUUUCACCAAUUUACCCUAUUUUUGGUUUAAUUAUGAUUAGCCUUUCAUAGCUAAAUUUAGACUCAACAACUAAUUACGUCAAGAUUAAAUUGUAAUUGGCCUUAGAUUAGAUUUAGGUUCCCCAGUUCCAAUAUGUUUUUUGAUUAAUCUUCUUAAUUCAACUCCACUCGGGGCAAGAAAAGGUAAGUAUACAACAAAUAAAAUAAAUGAAAUACAAUUAGUUACAUAAACCGCAUAAAACAGUCCUACCACAAAUCCGGUAGUUAAAUGAAUAUGAGUUGUCAACGCGAGAAUCAGUUCAGUUCCUUGGGUGACUCGCAGUCGACAUCCAACGAUAUUCGAAUGCAGCUCCAGGACCUGACCUGCGUAAGCAAACAGGUAUUAUAAUACACUACAAUAUUUACUAUAUCAGCCACUCUCUGUCUAAUCAUUACAGUUAUAAUUAAUAUAUGACACUAUAUCAACGCAAAUACUUUUACACAUAAUCAACUAAUAAUAACCUUUCUUUUACAGGUACUCCGGACAGAUAAGUAUUAGUUACCUUUCUCUUACGGCAUAAUUGUACAUUCACUUCAAUAUCGAAAUGUAUUGAAUUAUAUAAUACAUUCAAAAUAAACAUAUUUCUAAACCAAA